UGAUACGGGAACGGGCAUACGUCUUAUA
rnacentral:sRNA from 1 species